AACAAGGGUGGGUGGAGCGCAGCGUAAACAAGAAACCCCACCGAUUUCACGGGCAAAUCAUUAUCCCAAAGUUCCUGUUUUUCCGCUGUAACUGCGAUGGAGUAUUUACGUGCGAAGACAGUCCUGAAAUGAAUUGUGGAGCGGUGAACUCAGGAAACCUUGAGAGCUCAGCUACUCUGCAGCUUGUGAAAACAUGGGUCUUUUUUUUUUUAUUUUAAAGCAUUAUCAACAUAUCCUAGAGGCCCGGGGAACAUGUAGCAGAGUCUAAGGAUGUUUGUUUGGAGAUAGAGAACAUCAUGAUCCCUUGGCUAGAAAAGGGGAAAUCAUGGGGGUAGCAGAGGCCUGAAUAUGUUUAUUCAACAUGCUCGCCCUCCUCAGCCUCCCCAUCCUCACAUGCUGUCAGUGGCUGGGCCUCUGCAUCUGUCAUGAAGGACACACAUGGGGAAAGAGUUCACAAGGCUCGCACUUUUCCAACCUCGUCUCUGCUCAGACGACUUUGCCCCUGCUCUUUGUCUCACUACAGGGACUUUCCUUUACCCCGUCCCUGCCGGCACUCCUGGAUUCUGAUAACGAAGGCGACCUCAAUGAAGUGCCAGCGCGAUUAGAUUCAAUUUUGUCCUUCUUUUUUCUUCUUCUAUCAGUCCAAAAAACACUUCCCUCCAGAAACAGGCUUAUCCCACAUCUACAACCCCCUGCUGCCAGAAGCGGAAAGACUGUCGGUAAUAUUCAGCCAUUAUCUCCCACCGUUUAGCCUUGUGAUGAGGCAGUCACAAAUCUCUUAUCUCAGAUGGGACAAAGCCUGUGUGGGCACUGUGGACAACAGUGUAAACACUAAAGGAGGGACUGAUGGACAUCUGUCUGAGCAAACAGGAGGAAUCUGUCUGCAGUCUCAAUUUGGGGGAAAUGCUUCAAAAGCUUAUUCUUGUAUUUCAUUCAGUGAAGUGUGCCUCACUGACUAAUGACGGCUUUAUCCUAUUUAUCUAAAUAGAAGUUUGGUGUUUGAGGACGCUGCAUGACAGAGUCUACUGGCUGAGGCCCUCGAUUAAUAUCUCAGAUGUGUUAAAGAUCCAGAAAUUCAGUGUUAGGCAGAAAAAAAACAAAUGCCAAUGUUGUCACAUUCUGACAACAUGUAAAAGGAGUAUUUGCAAAUGCUUGUGCAAAAUCUUUAGGUAAGGGAUAGAUGAUGGUGAAGAUUUGGCCUAUUGUUCGCUCUUUUGAGUUUAUCUGGAAUUGUUGGAAGACAGAACAGGAAGUCUGGGCCCUAAGAAAAAAUGUGAUUUUUGCCUGCAGAGGCUAAGUCACCAGACUAGCCGAUAGAGUCCCAGACUGAAAAGGGUGGCGCCUGUGCAGCAGGAGAAAAGGUGCAUCAAGAUGAAGCCAAAGCACACAGGCUGAAAUGAUAUUUGGCUUUGGACAUACUGGAGAAAAAGCCUAAAUCACAGCAGAUCCACACAGAGGGACCUGUGGGACCUGAAACUCAGUUGACCUAAUUCUUUAUUGGCUUGUUAAUGUCAUUAUAUGACAGAAUAAAUCCUUAAUGAUGGGAUUGUGUUCAAAAACAAAAAAAGUGAUGAUCUUAGCAUAUACUUCAGCAGCAUUAGAGCG